rfam:Salmo salar isolate Sally breed double haploid chromosome ssa06, whole genome shotgun sequence.
GCAAAACCAAUUUGUAAGUCGCUCUGGAUAAGAGCGUCUGCUAAAUGACUUAAA